rnacentral:rRNA from 1 species
UAUUGCACAAUGGGGGAAACCCUGAUGCAGCGACGCCGCGUGAGCGAAGAAGUAUCUCGGUAUGUAAAGCUCUAUCAGCAGGGAAGAAACUGACGGUACCUGACUAAGAAGCUCCGGCUAAAUACUCGCCAGCAGCCGCGGUAAUACGUAUGGAGCAAGCGUUAUCCGGAUUUACUGGGUGUAAAGGGAGCGUAGGCGGCCAGACAAGUCUGAUGUGAAAGGCUGGGGCUCAACCCCAGGACUGCAUUGGAAACUGUGAGGCUAGAGUGUCGGGGAGGCAGGCGGAAUUCCUAGUGUAGCGGUGAGAUGCGUAGAUAUUAGGAGGAACACCAGUGGCGAAGGCGGCCUGCUGGACGAUGACUGACGCUGAGGCUCGAAAGCGUGGGGAGCAAACAGGA